GGAGGAAAGCAGGGGAUCGCAAGACCUUGCGCUCAUUGAGCGGCCGAUGCCUGAUUAGCUAGUUGGUGAGGUAAAGGCUUACCAAGGCGACGAUCAGUAGCUGGUCUGAGAGGACGACCAGCCACACUGGGACUGAGACACGGCCCAGACUCCUACGGGAGGCAGCAGUGGGGAAUUUUGGACAAUGGGGGAAACCCUGAUCCAGCCAUGCCGCGUGAGUGAAGAAGGCCUUCGGGUUGUAAAGCUCUUUCAGCCGGAACGAAACGGUCACGGCUAAUACCUGUGACUACUGACGGUACCGGAAGAAGAAGCACCGGCUAACUACGUGCCAGCAGCCGCGGUAGGACGUAGGGUGCGAGCGUUCAUCGGAAUUACUGGGCGUAAAGCGUGCGCAGGCGGUUUUGUAAGU
rnacentral:rRNA from 1 species